rnacentral:tRNA from 1 species
AGAGCACCUGACUUUUAAUCAGGGUGUCCCGCGUUCGAGUCGCGGAUGGCUCACCA